rnacentral:rRNA from 1 species
GUAGGGAAUAUUGGACAAUGGGGGCAACCCUGAUCCAGCGACGCCGCGUGAGUGAUGAAGGCCUUCGGGUCGUAAAGCGCUGUUGCAGGGGAAGAACACAAUGACGGUACCCUGCUAGAAAGGAUCGGCUAACUUCGUGCCAGCAGCCGCGGUAAGACGAGGGAUACUAGCGUUGUUCGGAAUUAUUGGGCGUAAAGCGGGUGCAGGUGGCUUGGUAAGUCAGAUGUGAAAGCCUGGGGCUAAACCCCAGAAGUGCAUUUGAUACUGCUGAGCUUGAGUGCUGGAGAGGCUAUUAGAAUUCCUGGUGUAGUGGUGAAAUACGUAGAUAUCAGGAGGAAUACCGGAGGCGAAGGCGGAUAGCUGGCCAGACACUGACACUCAGACCCGAAAGCGUGGGGAUCAAACAGGAUUAGAUACCCCAGUAGUCC